rnacentral:rRNA from 1 species
CACGUAGGGGGCGAGCGUUGUCCGGAUUUAUUGGGCGUAAAGAGCUCGUAGGCGGCUCAGUAAGUCAGGUGUGAAAACUCCAGGCUCAACCUGGAGACGCCACCUGAUACUGCUGUGGCUAGAGUCCGGUAGGGGAGCAUGGAAUUCCUGGUGUAGCGGUGAAAUGCGCAGAUAUCAGGAGGAACACCAGUGGCGAAGGCGGGUCUCUGGGCAAUAACUGACGCUGGAGGAGCGAAAAGCGUGGGGAGCGAACAGG